AGAGUUUGAUCAUGGCUCAGAUUGAACGCUGGCGGCAGGCCUAACACAUGCAAGUCGAGCGGCAGCACAGAGGAACUUGUUCCUUGGGUGGCGAGCGGCGGACGGGUGAGUAAUGCCUGGGAAAUUGCCCGGUAGAGGGGGGAUAACCAUUGGAAACGAUGGCUAAUACCGCAUAACCUCGCAAGAGCAAAGCAGGGGACCUUCGGGCCUUGCGCUA
rnacentral:rRNA from 1 species